GCAGCGGCAAAAUCCGUUGCCGUGAUUAGCGUCCCGGAAUUCAAUAGAGUGCACGACCGCACAGGCGGGUUCUCU
rnacentral:sRNA from 15 species